AGUGAACGCUGGCGGUAGGCCUAACACAUGCAAGUCGAACGGCAGCACAGUAAGAGCUUGCUCUUACGGGUGGCGAGUGGCGGACGGGUGAGGAAUACAUCGGAAUCUACUUUUUCGUGGGGGAUAACGUAGGUAAACUUACGAUAAUACCGCAUACGACCUACGGGUGAAAGCAGGGGAUCUUCGGACCUUGCGCGAUUGAAUGAGCCGCUGUCGGAUUAGCUAGUUGGCGGGGUAAAGGCCCACCAAGGCGCCGAUCCGUAGCUGGUCUGAGAGGAUGAUCAGCCACACUGGAAGUGAGACACGGUCAAGACUCCUACGGGAGGCAGCAGUGGGGAAUAUUGGGCAAUGGGCGGAAGCCUGAUCCAGCCAUACCGCGUGGGUGAAGAAGGCCUUCGGGUUGUAAAGCCCUUUUGUUGGGAAAGAAAAGCAGCAGGUUAAUACCCCGCUGUUCUGACGGUACCCAAAGAAUAAGCACCGGCUAACUUCGUG
rnacentral:rRNA from 1 species